AGUGAACGCUGGCGGUAGGCCUAACACAUGCAAGUCGAACGGCAGCACAGUAAGAGCUUGCUCUUACGGGUGGCGAGUGGCGGACGGGUGAGGAAUACAUCGGAAUCUACUUUUUCGUGGGGGAUAACGUAGGGAAACUUACGCUAAUACCGCAUACGACCUACGGGUGAAAGCAGGGGAUCUUCGGACCUUGCGCGAUUGAAUGAGCCGAUGUCGGAUUAGCUAGUUCGCGGGGUAAAGGCCCACCAAGGCGACGAUCCGUAGCUGGUCUGAGAGGAUGAUCAGCCACACUGGAACUGAGACACGGUCCAGACUCCUACGGGAGGCAGCAGUGGGGAAUAUUGGACAAUGGGCGCAAGCCUGAUCCAGCCAUACCGCGUGGGUGAAGAAGGCCUUCGGGUUGUAAAGCCCUUUUGUUGGGAAAGAAAAGCAGCAGGUUAAUACCCCGCUGUUCUGACGGUACCCAAAGAAUAAGCGCCGGCUAACUUCGUG
rnacentral:rRNA from 1 species